rnacentral:rRNA from 1 species
AUGGCCAGAAGGGUGGGAUCUGAACAUUGCAUAAAUAGAGAGAAGUCCUCUAUUUUCUUCAGCAAGGGAUGCUCGGAGUCAGUGAGACAGGAAAUUAAACAUGCAUUGCAUGUUCGGAAUGAGAAACUUUCAAAGAAAUACCUGGGGUUACCCUCUCACGUGGGAAGAGAAAAAGAGGAAUCUUUUAAAUACUUGAAGGAUACAAUAUGGAAACAAGUGCAAGGAUGGAUGGAGAAGGAACUUUCAGUUGGUGGGAAAGAAGUUUUGCUGAAAUCCAUGGCACAGGCAAUCCCAACUUACUCUAUGGGAUGUUUCAACUUGCCUCAUGGCCUUUGUCAUCACAUCAAUGGUUUCUUCAUAAGUUUUGGUGGGGAUCAAAGAAAAAAGGCGAGAGCAAAACUACUUGGGAUUCAUGGGAGGUCAUGA